rnacentral:rRNA from 1 species
AUUGAACGCUGGCGGCAGGCCUAACACAUGCAAGUCGAGCGAGCGGCGGACGGGUGAGUAAUGUCUGGGAAACUGCCUGAUGGAGGGGGAUAAAUACUGGAAACGGUAGCUAAUACCGCAUACCAUCAGAUGUGCCCAGGUGGGCUUAGCUAGUAGGUCGGGUAACGGCUCACCAAGGCGACGAUCCCUAGCUGGUAUGAGAGGGUGACCAGCCACACUGGAACUUAGACACGGUCCAGACUCCUACGUGAGGCAGCAGGGGGGAAUAUUGCACAAUGGGCGCAAGCCUGAUGCAGCAAUGCCGCGUGUGUGAAGAAGGCUUUCGGGUUGUAAAGCACUUUCAGCGGGGAGGCGUUACCCGCAGAAGAAGCACCGGCUAACUCCGUACCAGCAGCCGCGGUAAUUC